GAACGCACAUUGCGCUCUCUGGUAUUCCGGAGAGCAUGCUUGUUUGAGUAUCAGUAAAACACCCUCAGUUCUCUUUUUGAGAACUGGACUUGAGUUAUCCCAACGGUGGUUUCAAAACCACUGGCGGGUCGCUUGAAAUGCAGGGGCGGCUGGACACCUCUUCUGAGCUAUAAGCAUUACUUAUUUAAUCCCGUCAGACGGAUUAUUUCUACUGCUACAGCUAUAUAAGGUCGAUUGUCCGUUUGCCCGACUGAUGCAGAAAAAACAGAGAGAAAUCUUUGUUCACUCGAUCUCAAAUCAAGUAAGACUACCCGCUGAACUUA
rnacentral:misc_RNA from 1 species